rnacentral:rRNA from 1 species
GACGAACGCUGGCGGCGUGCUUAACACAUGCAAGUCGAACGGAAAGACCCUGCUUUUGUGGGGUGCUCGAGUGGCGAACGGGUGAGUAACACGUGAGUAACCUGCCCUUGACUUUGGGAUAACUUCAGGAAACUGGGGCUAAUACCGGAUAGGAGCUCCUGCUGCAUGGUGGGGGUUGGAAAGUUUCGGCGGUUGGGGAUGGACUCGCGGCUUAUCAGCUUGUUGGUGGGGUAGUGGCUUACCAAGGCUUUGACGGGUAGCCGGCCUGAGAGGGUGACCGGCCACAUUGGGACUGAGAUACGGCCCAGACUUCUACGGGAGGCAGCAGUGGGGAAUAUUGCACAAUGGGCGGAAGCCUGAUGCAGCAACGCCGCGUGCGGGAUGACGGCCUUCGGGUUGUAAACCGCUUUCGCCUGUGACGAAGCGUGAGUGACGGUAAUGGGUAAAGAAGCACCGGCUAACUACGUG